GGUGAACGCUGGCGGCGUGCCUAAUACAUGCAAGUCGAGCGAACAGACGAGGAGCUUGCUCCUCUGACGUUAGCGGCGGACGGGUGAGUAACACGUGGAUAACCUACCUAUAAGACUGGGAUAACUUCGGGAAACCGGAGCUAAUACCGGAUAAUAUAUUGAACCGCAUGGUUCAAUAGUGAAAGACGGUUUUGCUGUCACUUAUAGAUGGAUCCGCGCCGCAUUAGCUAGUUGGUAAGGUAACGGCUUACCAAGGCGACGAUGCGUAGCCGACCUGAGAGGGUGAUCGGCCACACUGGAACUGAGACACGGUCCAGACUCCUACGGGAGGCAGCAGUAGGGAAUCUUCCGCAAUGGGCGAAAGCCUGACGGAGCAACGCCGCGUGAGUGAUGAAGGUCUUCGGAUCGUAAAACUCUGCUAUUAGGGAAGAACAAAUGUGUAAGUAACUAUGCACGUCUUGACGGUACCUAAUCAGAAAGCCACGGCUAACUACGUG
rnacentral:rRNA from 1 species